UAAGACCUGUACUGGAGUGGGAAUAAAACCCGGAGUGGGAAUAAAACCCGGACUGGAGCUGGCGGUGAGACCUGGACUGGAGUUGGGAGCAACAGGUGGAGUGGAAGCAAAACCCGGAGUGGGAAUAAAACCCGGACUGGAGUUGGGAGCAAAACCCGGACUGGGAAUAAAACCCGGACUGGAGUUGGGAGCAAAACCUGGACUGGGAAUAAAACCCGGACUGGAGCAGACGGUAAAACCCGGACUGGAGUUGGGAGCUGGACUGGAGUUGGAAGCAAAACCGGAGUGGGAAUAAAACCCGGACUGGAGUUGGGAGCAAAACCUGGACUGGGAAUAAAAACCGGACUGGAGCUGACAGUAAAACCCGGACUGGAGUUGGGAGCUGGACUGGAGUGGAAGCAAAACCCGGAGUGGGAAUAAAACCCGGACUGGGAGCAACACCUGGACUGGAACCGGUAAAACCUGGACUGGAGUUGAGAGCAAGAGCUGGGCUGGGAAUAAAGCCUGGACUGGAUUAAAAUUUGGACCGGGAGCGACACCGGAACCAGCAGUACCACCAGAACCGGAACCAACAGUGGGACUGACAGCAAUACUGGGUCUGACACCGGGACCAGAAUCGACACCAGGACCAGGAACAACAACAGGACCAGAACUGACACCAGGACCGGAACAACACCGGGACCAGAACCAACACUGGGACCAGAACCGACACCAGGACCAGAACCGACACCGGGACCAGGAACAACACCAGGACCAGGAACAACACCGGGACCAGAACCGACACCAGAACCAGAACCGGCAUCAGGACCAGAACAACACUGGGACCAGAACCGACACCGGUCCAACAACGGGACCAGGGGCUGACACUGGGACUGUCAUCAACACCAGAACCAGAACCGACACCGGAACCGGGACUGACACCAGGACCAACACCUGGACCAAUACUGGGACCGGAACUGACACCAGGACCAGGACCAAAACCUGGACCAACACCAGAACCAGGACUGACACCGGGACCAGGAAAAACACCUGGACCAACACCAGAACCAGGACCAACACCAGGACCAGGAAAAACACCCGGACCAACCCUGGGACCAGAACUGACACCAGAACCAGGACCAGCACCUGAACCAACACUGGGACCAGAACCAACAAUUGGACCAGGACCAACAAUUGAACCAACACCAGAACCAGGACCAACACCUGAACCAACACCAGGACCAGAACCAACAGUUGGACCAGGACCGACACCAGAACCCACAACACUGUGACCAGAACCAACAAUUGGCCCAGAACUGACACCAGAACCCACAACACCGGGACCAGAACCAACAACUG
rnacentral:lncRNA from 1 species